CAGCCUGUAAAAGGAAACGCCUCCCCGGGGACUGAGAAGGGAGAGUCUGGUGCGGAACACGUCUUUGUCCUGUGAAACCUGAGGCACUGGGGACAUGGCGCCCUUGACACAGUCUGUUCCGUGGCACCUUCAUUUCCGGGGGCACAUUUGUUUGGAUGGCUAACGACUCGGAGGGGAGGUCGCUGCCGUUUGCCCUGGAUUUCACUCACUGCAUGAGUCUGACUGAAGACCCCAGCACUGGCCUGCGGGGGGUUGUGGGACCUGGUGCACAAAAACUUAUUUGAGUCAGGCAAUUGAUCAAAACAGAUAAUUUCCCACGAAUGGUUUCGAUGAAUCAGCAUUUACUGAUGGAAAGAAAUGUUCAGUCAGAAUUUCCCAACCAGCUCCGUUGUCGAGUGCUUUGCGAGGUCAGGAACACGAGAGUUAAGCAGGGCCGGUGCAACCACUAGGCAAACUGCCCCCCUGCGCCACGCCAGCUCCUCCAUGGCUGGGGAUCGCCGCCCCUGCAAGUGGUUUGCUCUGGCUCUCCAGUGGCUCCAGAAGGUGGCUCCUCCCUGCUAAGCUGCUGCAGCAGCCCAAGCCUGGCA